AAGAGCUAGAUCAUAAGCCACAGGUGAAGCCAAGAUUCAAAUAAAAAACCAGUAGAAUUAGAACUCAAGAGGUCAUAAAGGAAGGCUAGACAUAAGUGAUGACCAAAAGAAAAUAAGUACUCGUGACAUGUGCAGCUUUUCUUUAGGUACGAAGGCCUAAAUGAAAAGCCAAGCCAAAGGCAUUAUUUGCAGUGCUGAACAUCAGCAUAUAUACUUUACAAUCCAGCAAUACCACUUACAGAUGUAUAAGCUAGAGAAACUUACCAAGGUGCACCAACAGGGAGCUGAGGUCACGAGGCAACCACAAGAACUGAAUUUCAGAAAGAGACAAGCCCUUCCAAGGAGAAAUAAGACAUGGAAAUUAUUUUACCUUUGCCAGAGCACAAGCAAAACACAGAGCUGCUACAAAAAAAGGUGAAUGUGUGCUCAGCCUCACUGCAUGGCACCUCCCACAGACCCAAAGUAUGAAGACAUCUCUGGGUUUCUAUUGGCAAUUGAAUUACGGCAUAAAACAUACCAAUUCUUGAUCUGUGAAAAAGGUUAUGACAUUUGCUAUCCAUGAGUCAAAACUCAAGGCCUAAUUUUAAGGAUAUUCAUUGCUAAGAUGUUAAGCUUCCACUUUCAAUGUUUGCCAUAACCUAUGUCCCUCAGGAAGUGGAGCCUGUGGCAGAGGGUACCCAUCUCCCGUUGGACAAAGAUUCACAAGAGAGUGUUCAUUCUCCUGUACGUCGGGGCUGCACCCACAUGGACACCAGGUGGAGUGUCUUGUCUCUGGCCUGAGGCAGUCUGCAUGAAGCCGAGGGAGCUGGUACAGAGUGGCAGCUGGAAAACACACAGGCAGAUCUCAAGUGGUGUAGAAGAGGUGUCUGCCAUAAUGCCUCAUCUACUCUGCACUUGCAAAUUUAUAACU